rnacentral:tRNA from 1 species
GACGGUGUAGUUUAAGUUAAGAUGUGUGCUCUGCAAGCACUCGGUGGAGGAUUUUCUUGCUGUCG